rnacentral:rRNA from 1 species
UACGUAGGGUGCAAGCGUUAAUCGGAAUUACUGGGCGUAAAGCGUGCGCAGGCGGUUUUGUAAGUCUGUCGUGAAAGCCCCGGGCUCAACCUGGGAAUUGCGAUGGAGACUGCAAGGCUUGAAUCUGGCAGAGGGGGGUAGAAUUCCACGUGUAGCAGUGAAAUGCGUAGAGAUGUGGAGGAACACCGAUGGCGAAGGCAGCCCCCUGGGUCAAGAUUGACGCUCAUGCACGAAAGCGUGGGGAGCAAACAG